UACGAAGGGGGCUAGCGUUGUUCGGAAUCACUGGGCGUAAAGCGCACGUAGGCGGACUGUUAAGUCGGGGGUGAAAUCCUGGGGCUCAACCCCAGAACUGCCCUCGAUACUGGCGGUCUUGAGUGUGGGAGAGGUUGGUGGAACUCCGAGUGUAGAGGUGAAAUUCGUAGAUAUUCGGAAGAACACCGGUGGCGAAGGCGGCCAACUGGCCCAUUACUGACGCUGAGGUGCGAAAGCGUGGGGAGCAAACAGG
rnacentral:rRNA from 1 species